rnacentral:rRNA from 1 species
UAGGGAAUCUUCGGCAAUGGACGAAAGUCUGACCGAGCAACGCCGCGUGAGUGAAGGAGGUUUUCGGAUCGUAAAACUCUGUUGGUAGAGAAGAACGUUGGUGAGAGUGGAAAGCUCAUCAAGUGACGGUAACUACCCAGAAAGGGACGGCUAACUACGUGCCAGCAGCCGCGGUAAUACGUAGGUCCCGAGCGUUGUCCGGAUUUAUUGGGCGUAAAGCGAGCGCAGGUGGUUUAUUAAGUCUGGUGUAAAAGGCAGUGGCUCAACCAUUGUAUGCAUUGGAAACUUGUAGACUUGAGUGCAGGAGAGGAGAGUGGAAUUCCAUGUGUAGCGGUGAAAUGCGUAGAUAUAUGGAGGAACACCGGUGGCGAAAGCGGCUCUCUGGCCUGUAACUGACACUGAGGCUCGAAAGCGUGGGGAGCAAACA